rnacentral:misc_RNA from 1 species
AAGUCGUAACAAGGUCUCCGUAGGUGAACCUGCGGAGGGAUCAUUAACACGUUUAUAACGUAUUAUAACAUAAUAAACAAAAUAAUGUGAAUUAAAUGUAAUAUAUAGAUAAUAGUUUACUAUUAUAUAUAUAUUAUCUCUACCUAUAAUAAAUAUGACUGUAUAUAAAAUACUAUUGUGAUUGGUUAUAUAACUUAAUUGUUAUAUAACAGUGUUACUAUAUACUCGAGUUUAAUCUCAAUGUCUUUUUAUUUUAGGCUUUUAUCUAAAUAUAGCUCAAUCAUACUAUUACCAACCAUUAUCACCCUAUCUAUAACCUAUUGACUAAAAUAAGAAUUAUAUGUAAUAAUAUAAUUUUUGAUAUUCAACUAAAAGCACAACUCUUAGCAACGGAUAUCUUGGUUCUC